rnacentral:lncRNA from 1 species
CGUUCAUAGUUGCCGGUUCUCUCCAUUUUCGUCGUUAACGUUUCGAGACCAACCUCACACGCACAUGACCAUGGCAUAGAGAAAAUAUUGUUUUUAAAGGUGUGUAUAAAAUAUUGUCGGAUUGGGUUGAAACUUGGCGUGCGGUCUUAUAUUAAUGUAGGUAGGCCGCCUACCAAAUUUCAUCGCAAUCGGAGUCCGUUUAAUACCGAACGUUCGACAGUAGCGGUACCGUCGUCGGUUUAUCGUUGACGUUUUUUCAGUUUCUAAAAAUCUCGUUGUCGGGCUGCAAACCUCCCUCUCUUCUUAGCCCACCACCACUCUACACAGCCCAACUAGCCUACUUAACCCUACCCCGUGUCCGGAGCCGUCCGAUUGCGAUCGAACGGCUCGAAUCGGGCUGAAAUCCCCUAACCCUAGCCCCCAUUCCUAUUUAAAC